CUUCUGUCUUUCUCCUUUUCUGAGUGCGAUGAUGAGAUGAGGUUUGGGAUUUGCUCUUUUCUUUAAUAUUUUUGAGCAAUUCUUUGAUCUGGUAUUUCUGAGCAAGAUUCUGUACAUCCUCUUGGAGCUGCAGGUCCUUUUCAAUGAUGCUCCACUUAUGUAACAACAGCAGGAUGUCUUUGUUUGAGAGAACACUGUCAUUCACAGUGAAUCGACUCAUUUCUUUAAAGGCCUCCACAACAAGAGCACGAUAUCCCAGCAC
rnacentral:lncRNA from 1 species